rnacentral:rRNA from 1 species
UACGUAGGGCGCAAGCGUUGUCCGGAAUUAUUGGGCGUAAAGAGCUCGUAGGCGGUCUGUUACGUCUGCUGUGAAAACCCAGGGCUUAACCCUGGGCUUGCAGUGGAUACGGGCAGACUAGAGGCAGGUAGGGGAGAAUGGAAUUCCCGGUGUAGCGGUGAAAUGCGCAGAUAUCGGGAGGAACACCGGUGGCGAAGGCGGUUCUCUGGGCCUGACCUGACGCUGAGGAGCGAAGGCCAGGGGAGCAAACGGG